UGUAAAGAGUUUGUGGAAGCAGCAGAAUGAAAGAUUUCAUGUUGCUGGUUCUAGAAAUUUCUCUAAAUGGAAUUUCUAAAAGGUUGCUUCUCUGGGACGGUCAUGAACACCUUCCAGCUGUAAAGAUGUGGAUCAACACUGGGUGGCUCUCCCCUAGAGUGACAUCAUGCUCCUUCAUACAGAAAAGAGUGAGAAAAGAGACUUCAAUUGUUUUGACAAACACAUUGAAUAUUUCACCUUUUUAAAUCCAAGGUCUCCUGCUGAAGAUGACUUUAUUUCAUCAGCCAGCUUCUGCUUUUUGCCAUUCCCUAGAGAACUUCCAUUAAAGGAAAUCUGUUGAUCAUCACCAGAUACAUUCAUGUGCUUUCCAUCUUCAGGAUAGCUGCUCUGUUCUUCUGUGUGUUGCUGCAUAAUAAGUAUUGCCCCCUCCCCCCUUUUUGUUUUCUUUCCCCCUCCAAAGCUAAUUUUUACUUUAUUGUAAUAACUGAAAGUUCUGGAGAACAUUUGGUUCCUGGUGUUUUGCUGCAUGUUUGACCCAAAGAUAGUUUCUUUACCUCUUCCAGUAAAUACAAAUGUGGUUUUCUGUUGUUAGAGAAACAAUUGCUUUUCUUCUGUUGUCAGAGAAAUAAACUACUGAACUUUAA